CCCUGCAGAGAUAUUUCAGUACAUCACAAAAUGUCAGAAGAAAAUGUUCAAUGAAAACAAUAUUUUUCAGAUUCACAGAUUACUAAAGAGACAGACAAAAACGAGUACGAGAAGAUUAAUUCCCUUCAAGUUUCAGAACACGAGUAUGGGCAUAUUACGGUCGGUGUUUAAAGUAUCGGUAAGUGUAGUAAUGACUCGUUAUAACACGAUUUAUUUCACUUAAAGUAUGAUAUUGUAUGUAAGAACACACUUUAUGCGUUUAAACUUGUUCAGUGCAACAUCAUUAUUUUCUUUUUUACAGAUAAAGCUGUAAAGAAGAUAUAAGAGAAUGCAGAACAAAUGAGCUGUUUCAACAGCAUUAUAUGACUUUUGUUUGAAAAGAAUUUGUUCCUAUUACUGUAUAUAACUAACGCAUACUUACCAUUUUUCAUUUUCGAAUCACAAAGUUAUCACUCAUCAGUGAAAGCGCCUCUUUCACAAAAUGCUUAUAAGUAUCAAGGUGAAAGGAGUUGUUGACUAGGACUUUGUUCCUCCGAGUCGGCAAACAACAUCAACAUGCUAAGCUUAGAACCAUUUCCGUGAUGUUAUAAGUUUUAUGUAUAAAUGUGUACAUAUUAAUAUAAAAAAUGUAUUUGCUUUAUGUUAAGUAAUUUUGAUGUAUAUAAUGUAUAUGUCCCUUUCUUCUUCAGUCUUUUUUCAUCUACGUUAGUGUAAGAGUUGUUGUGUGUACAUGUCUUUUGGUUGAAUGGUUUGGCACAGACGUGUCACAUUAAUGGUUCCACGAUAACCGCCUUCCGAAGUCAUCUGCGAAACUUUCUAAUUUCAAAAGAUCACCAUUUUUAUGUUUAAAUGUUGAGUGCGAUAAUGUGUGCACGCUUUUCUGACAUAGUUCUCUUUUAAUUUUGUUAUGAUUUAAGAUAUACAUAAUUAUUCCUUUGUUGUAUAUAAAUAAAUAAAAAGUAAGCAUG